GACGUAGGGCGCGAGCGUUGUCCGGAUUUAUUGGGCGUAAAGAGCUCGUAGGCGGCUUGUUGCGCCAGCUGUGAAAACCCGCAGCUCAACUGUGGGCUUGCAGCUGAUACGGGCAGGCUUGAGUUCGGUAGGGGAGACUGGAAUUCCUGGUGUAGUGGUGAAAUGCGUAGAUAUCGGGAGGAACACCAGUGGCGAAGGCGACUACCUGGCCUGUUCUUGACGCUGAGGCGCGAAAGCUAGGGGAGCAAACGGG
rnacentral:rRNA from 1 species